rnacentral:rRNA from 1 species
GAUGAACGCUGGCGGCGUGCCUAAUACAUGCAAGUCGAGCGAACAGACGAGGAGCUUGCUCCUCUGACGUUAGCGGCGGACGGGUGAGUAACACGUGGAUAACCUACCUAUAAGACUGGGAUAACUUCGGGAAACCGGAGCUAAUAUCGGAUAAUAUAUUGAACCGCAUGGUUCAAUAGUGAAAGACGGUUUUGCUGUCACUUAUAGAUGGAUCCGCGCCGCAUUAGCUAGUUGGUAAGGUAACGGCUUACCAAGGCAACGAUGCGUAGCCGACCUGAGAGGGUGAUCAGCCACACUGGAACUGAGACACGGUCCAGACUCCUACGGGAGGCAGCAGUAGGGAAUCUUCCGCAAUGGGCGAAAGCCUGACGGAGCAACGCCGCGUGAGUGAUGAAGGUCUUCGGGUCGUAAAACUCUGUUAUUAGGGAAGAACAAAUGUAUAAGUAACUAUGCACGUCUUGACGGUACCUAAUCAGAAAGCCACGGCUAACUACGUG